AACUGCNGCACNAGGAGUGUUCGAUUGGACUCCUUUUCACACAAUGAACAACCAGCUUAGAACUGAUGCGGGCAAGGGGAAUCCGACUGUUUAAUUGAAACAAAGUAUUGCGAUGCCCUGAAAGGAUGUUGACACAAUGUGAUUUCUGCCCAGUGCUCUGAAUGUCAAAGUGAGGAGAUUCAACUAAGCGCGGGUAAACGGCGGGAGUAACUAUGACUCUCUUAAGGUAGCCAAAUGCCUCGUCAUCCAAUUAGUGACGCGCAUGAAUGGAUUAAUGAGAUUCCUACUGUCCCAAUCUACUGUCCAGCGAAACCACAGCCAAGGGAACGGGCUUGGGUGAGUCAGCGGGGAAAGAAGACCCUGUUGAGCUUGACUCUAAUCCGACUUUGUGAAAUGACUUAGGAGGAGUAGGAUAUGUGGGAGCUCAGGUGAUCUUGAAAUACCACUACUUUUAAUGUCACUUUACUUACUCUAUCCAACUGUGCCCUGCCUCACAGCAGGUUUUUGCUUUYAAGGUUGCUCUUUUGGCGUGUUGAUUUGCGUAGAAGACGUCGUCCGGUGGGGAGUUUGGCUGGGGCGGCACAUCUGUUAAAGGAUAACGCAGGUGUCCUAAGGUGAGCUCAAUGAGAACAGAAAUCUCAUGCGGAUCAAAAGGGGAAACGCUUGCUUGAUUUUGCUUUUCAGUGUGAAGAUAAACUGUGCAAACAUGGCCUAUUGAUCCUUUAG
rnacentral:rRNA from 1 species